GGCACCACUGCACUACAGCCUGGGCGACAGAGCAAGACUCCAUCUCAAAAUAAUAAUAGUAAUAAUGGUGCUCAAUUCUGCUGUGAGGACUAACAGGGUAACGCAGGUAAGGCGUCUCCAGCUCAGUGCUGGCAGAGGAAGACUACUGGCAGAUGUGGGCUAGGAGUCACUGUGUUUUCCCCCAUAUACUUUUAGACUCAGGUGGGGAAGAGCCCCCACUCUCAGGGAUCUGCUACCAGGCUGCUGUAGGAAAGCCCAGGUAGGUUGUCCAGGGCAGCAUAUCAGGCAGUGAAGUGUGAGGCCAGGUGCAGAAGCCACAACUUUGGGUAGAAAGGCAGACGACAGUCACUAGGAAGCCAGGAGGGAGUGUCCCAGCCUCCUACAUGGAGGGCAGGAGCCGACAGAGAAAUGGAGGCAGCUGGCCCAGGACGUCAAGCCAGGCUAAAGCAGGAGGCAAGCUUUGAGAAUGGGUGUCCAUGGCGAGGGAAGCAGGGGGUGCUGCAGGAGUGGCAGCCCGGGGUCUCCAGCCCCAGACCUGAUGGGCUGCCUCUGUGAAGGCCAUGGUGGCCUCCUGGGACUCAGGCAGGUCCCCAGGUCCUUCUCAUUCCUUUCACCCACCAAUUUAGACCAUGUAGGACUGCUUGGGCCAUUCUACUUCCCCUCCUUUGCUCUCACACUCUGCCUCGUUUCUCCCUCCAGCGGAGCUCUCUCUUCUGCCUCUUCCAAGUAGCCAUGCAUGUGGCCGAGUCCUAACAAAUUUCCUAGAGGGGCCGGUGAGCAGAACAAGUGCAAGGAGUCACUCCAGGCUCAUUGACAAGAGGAGGGCCUAGUAGGCUCCUGCGGAAAUCCUGAAGGCUUGGGAGAUGCUGUCCACCUAACU
rnacentral:lncRNA from 1 species